rnacentral:rRNA from 1 species
GACGAACGCUGGCGGCGUGCUUAACACAUGCAAGUCGAACGAUGAAGGAGAGCUUGCUCUCCGGAUUAGUGGCGAACGGGUGAGUAACACGUGACUAACCUGCCCCUUUCUCUGGGAUAACGCUCCGAAAGGGGUGCUAAUACCGGAUACGAACUCUGAACACAUGUUCGGAGUUGGAAAGUUUUUCGGAAAGGGAUGGAGUCGCGGCCUAUCAGCUUGUUGGUGAGGUAAUGGCUCACCAAGGCGACGACGGGUAGCCGGCCUGAGAGGGCGACCGGCCACACUGGGACUGAGACACGGCCCAGACUCCUACGGGAGGCAGCAGUGGGGAAUAUUGCACAAUGGGCGAAAGCCUGAUGCAGCGACGCCGCGUGAGGGAUGAAGGUCUUCGGAUUGUAAACCUCUUUCAGUAGGGACGAAGCGAAAGUGACGGUACCUAAAGAAGAAGCACCGGCUAACUACGUGCCAGCCGCCGCAGUAACAC